AUGGUUUGGCGAUGAAUCGGUUUUAACAAUUAAAUUUUGUUUCGCGAUUAGUUACUCGAUGUUUCGGAUUUUUCGAACUUAAUUAACAAUUUUAUUAAACGGAAUUACAGUAUGUACUAGAUUGUUUCUUUGACGCAGACGGAUCGACUUGCGAAUGAACAAAGGAAUAAAUGAAUCACCGAAUCUCAAGUUAAUACCGAACCUUAAGUGCAAUACUCUUACAAUACUUUUUAAGUUAAACUCACUGUUUCCAACUAAGACUGACUUCUGACUGCUCUGAAUUAAAACUGAACUCUAACUACUUUCAACACUACUUUCAAUUAAAUUCUAAACAUGGUAAAACUAGCUCUGACUUCAAUUAAAACUGCACUCCAACAACUCUAUUGAGUACUGAAUCUCUAUUUAUAUUCUUCCUAAUUGUCACGUGACCGAUUAUUUCUUUUGUAAUUGUACCAUUACUACGUGACAAUUUAUGAAUUUCGUAACUACCUAUUUCCGCUGGGGUUCUUGUUUUCUUGAUUAUCUCACCCUUUGCUUGGUGUUAAUGACAUACAAGGUGCUUGAAAGAAUGUACAUGUUACAGGUGGUCGUAUUUUGCUGAUGCUGCGUCUGCGUUCUUUCCAUGACCUUCGUUACUGAUACCAGUGGAAUGUGCCGGUCGCGUGGCUGCUUGGCCUUGCUGAGGUUGCAUUUUGUGUGUCCGGUGAUCGGCCUGCUGAUGUCGGUGAAUCGUACGAGGUGCUUGCCGAGUCUUUGCACGUGUUGUAUGCUCUAUUUCUUAUGUUCCCCAAGGUUAUAUUGAAUCAUGGAUACUGACAUGUCUGGAGCUGUAGAGUGUAAGAAAAAGAAAAGGAAUAGAGGGAAGCGCAGGCCGUUCGUACCUCCUGUGGUCGAAGUGGUAGAUACAAAUGCCUGCGCCAAGGUCCGUUUUCCCCAGGAAAUUCCUGAUGGAGUGUUGGAAGCCUAUCUAUUUUUAUUUUAUUUUCCUUCUUACCCUCGUAUAUUAAUUAUAUCUAUAUAUAUGAAUAAUUAACAAUGUUUAAUAAAUUUUAUCAAAGAA